rnacentral:lncRNA from 1 species
UGCUGGGAAUGCUGUGGCUUGCAUGAGACGCACACAGGAUAAAAUCAUAGAAUCCUAGAAUGGUUUGGGUUGGAAGAGACCUUAAAGACCAUCCCGUUGCACCCCCUCUGCUGUGGCCAAGGACAGCUUCCACUAGACCAGGUUGCCUCACGCCCCAUCCAACCUGGCCUUGAACACUGCCACGGAUGGGGCAGUUACAGCUUCUUCGGGCAACCUCUUCCAUUGUCUCACCAUCCUCACUGUGAAGAACUUCUUCCUUAUAUCUAAUCUAAACCUACCCUCUUCUAGUUUAAAGCAAUUUCCCUGUGUUCUACCACUACCUGUCCUUGCAAAAGCUCCUCUCCAGGUUUCUUGUAGCCCUUCUAGGCACCGGGAACUGCUCCAAGGUCUCCCCUUAAGGAGACUUCUCUUCUCCAGGCUGAACAAGCCCAGCUCUCUCAGCCUGUCUCCAGGGCAGAGCUGCUCCAGCCUCGGAGCAUCCUCAUGGCCUCCUCUGGACUUGCUCCAACAGCUCCACAUCUCUUUUCUGUUCUUGCCACAGAGCUGGACACAGGACAGCAGAGGGGCAGAAUCACUGACCUUCUGGCCACGCUCCUUUUGAUAGAGCCCAGCAUAUGGUUCGCAAAAAAAGAGAACCAAAGGCUUUAAUUCCCCAUCUGUCAAAAGCAGGAUUAUGAAUAUCUCCUAGCAUGUAGACUGCUUUUAAUGUUGCAAAAGGUGACACCAGAAAUGCCACUGCUGGCAGAGGACUCAGGGAUGGCACCAGCAGGCACUGCUGCAGUCCUGGCUCAUUGUGAGAGCUCAGGAGAAACGACACCAGAGUUGGUGCCACGACUGCAGAGUUAACCUUUGUCACCUCUCUAUUUAGCUGACUUUCUCCCUUAAUGAAGCAGUUUGAUUUAUGUACGAGUCAUUUGCCUUCAUAAUAAAUUUAUUAAAUGAUCAUCUUCUUUUUCCCUCCAGAUUUGUCACUUGAAAUGUGGUAAUUGGUGUUUAAACCUGCAAUGGCAUGUCAUCAAAUGAGUUCAAACAACGUUACACAUUCCUUGCUCUCUGUAUCAUAACGAAGCUCAGCUGUCAGCACUAAC